rnacentral:rRNA from 1 species
GACGAACGCUGGCGGCGUGCCUAAUACAUGCAAGUAGAACGCUGAAGGAGGAGCUUGCUUCUCUGGAUGAGUUGCGAACGGGUGAGUAACGCGUAGGUAACCUGCCUGGUAGCGGGGGAUAACUAUUGGAAACGAUAGCUAAUACCGCAUAAUAGUAGAUGUUGCAUGACAUUUGCUUAAAAGGUGCAAUUGCAUCACUACCAGAUGGACCUGCGUUGUAUUAGCUAGUUGGUGAGGUAACGGCUCACCAAGGCGACGAUACAUAGCCGACCUGAGAGGGUGAUCGGCCACACUGGGACUGAGACACGGCCCAGACUCCUACGGGAGGCAGCAGUAGGGAAUCUUCGGCAAUGGACGGAAGUCUGACCGAGCAACGCCGCGUGAGUGAAGAAGGUUUUCGGAUCGUAAAGCUCUGUUGUAAGAGAAGAACGAGUGUGAGAGUGGAAAGUUCACAC